UACGUAGAGUGCAAGCGUUAAUCGGAAUUACUGGGCGUAAAGCGUGCGCAGGCGGCUUUGCAAGACAGAUGUGAAAUCCCCGGGCUUAACCUGGGAACUGCAUUUGUGACUGCAUGGCUAGAGUGCGGCAGAGGGGGAUGGAAUUCCGCGUGUAGCAGUGAAAUGCGUAGAUAUGCGGAGGAACACCGAUGGCGAAGGCAAUCCCCUGGGCCUGCACUGACGCUCAUGCACGAAAGCGUGGGGAGCAAACAGG
rnacentral:rRNA from 1 species